GCACCGGGAGGAAUGUCCCGCGGCGGCGGCGGCGGCGGCGGCGGCGGCGGAGUCACUGAGCUCGGGGCGCCCGCUAUCUCCAACUCUCACCCCCGCAUCCAGAGUGUUUUAAUUGGAACUUGAGGAUUGCGAUCCUGAGGCCAGCAUGUCGGGGGCCUCUGUGAAGGUGGCAGUGAGAGUUCGACCCUUCAACGAACGGGAAAUCAGCCGCAAUGCCAGCUGUGUGAUCCAGAUGUCAGGAAAGUCAACCAGUAUCACAAACCCCAAACAGACUAAGGAUGCUCCAAAGAGUUUCACAUUUGACUAUUCCUACUGGUCGCACAGCUCG